rnacentral:rRNA from 1 species
AACGUAGGUCACAAGCGUUGUCCGGAAUUACUGGGUGUAAAGGGAGCGCAGGCGGGAAGACAAGUUGGAAGUGAAAUCUAUGGGCUCAACCCAUAAACUGCUUUCAAAACUGUUUUUCUUGAGUAGUGCAGAGGUAGGCGGAAUUCCCGGUGUAGCGGUGGAAUGCGUAGAUAUCGGGAGGAACACCAGUGGCGAAGGCGGCCUACUGGGCACCAACUGACGCUGAGGCUCGAAAGUGUGGGUAGCAAACAGGAUUAGAUACCCUGGUAGUUGACUGACU